rnacentral:rRNA from 1 species
UACGAAGGGGGCUAGCGUUGCUCGGAAUCACUGGGCGUAAAGGGUGCGUAGGCGGAUUGUUAAGUCGGGGGUGAAAUCCCAGGGCUCAACCCUGGAACUGCCUUCGAUACUGGCAAUCUCGAGUCCGGAAGAGGUGAGUGGAACUCCUAGUGUAGAGGUGGAAUUCGUAGAUAUUAGGAAGAACACCAGUGGCGAAGGCGGCUCACUGGUCCGGUACUGACGCUGAUGUGCGAAAGCGUGGGGAGCAAACAGG